ACUCCUACGGGAGGCAGCAGUGGGGAAUAUUGCACAAUGGGCGCAAGCCUGAUGCAGCCAUGCCGCGUGUGUGAAGAAGGCCUUCGGGUUGUAAAGCACUUUCAGUCGUGAGGAAGGUAGUGUAGUUAAUAGCUGCAUUAUUUGACGUUAGCGACAGAAGAAGCACCGGCUAACUCCGUGCCAGCAGCCGCGGUAAUACGGAGGGUGCGAGCGUUAAUCGGAAUUACUGGGCGUAAAGCGCAUGCAGGUGGUUGUUAAGUCAGAUGUGAAAGCCCGGGGCUCAACCUCGGAAUAGCAUUUGAAACUGGCAGACUAGAGUACUGUAGAGGGGGUAGAAUUUCAGGUGUAGCGGUGAAAUGCGUAGAGAUCUGAAGGAAUACCGGUGGCGAAGGCGGCCCCUGGACAGAUACUGACACUCAGAUGCGAAAGCGUGGGAGCAAACAGGAUUAGAUACCCCUGGUAGACUGU
rnacentral:rRNA from 1 species